AUGAUGGUACCGGGGAGGAGGGGAAUUGAAGAACGGAAAGACGAGGCAGCAGGUCGCCAGUACGAGACGAACGCGUCGGUGCGAUCGUACUCCGACCUGACAGCCUGCCUCCCACCUUCUCCGUCUUCCCUGGCUUCAUCUUCAUCAACACCUCUCCAGGGAAAUGUCGGCCUCACGGUCCGGCACCCCUCCCGAAGAGACAGCAUGCGGCCAAGAUGGCCAGAGCGUUCGAGGCGCGCCGCACCUCACCUUGGCGGGCAGGAAGACACCCUCCUCAUCAACAUCAACCCCAGUUCCAAGGAAAGGGGCAGUAGUGUGAUUUCUAAAGAUCACAAGCCCUUCGCCUUGGACUUGGACCAGGCUCACUCCCCGAGCACCAGCACCAACAUCUGA
rnacentral:rRNA from 1 species